AUUGAACGCUGGCGGCAGGCUUAACACAUGCAAGUCGAACGAGUGGCGGACGGGUGAGUAAUGUCUGGGAAACUGCCCGAUGGCGGGGGAUAACUACUGGAAACGGUAGCUAAUACCGCAUACCAUCGGAUGUGCCCAUAUGGGAUUAGCUAGUAGGUGGGGUAAUGGCUCACCUAGGCGACGAUCCCUAGCUGGUCUGAGAGGAUGACCAGCCACACUGGAACUGAGACACGGCCCAGACUCCUACGGGAGGCAGCAGUGGGGAAUAUUGCACAAUGGGCGCAAGCCUGAUGCAGCCAUGCCGCGUGUAUGAAGAAGGCCUUCGGGUUGUAAAGUACUUUCAGCGAGGAGGCGUUACCCGCAGAAGAAGCACCGGCUAACUCCGUGCCAGCCGCCGCGGUAAUAC
rnacentral:rRNA from 1 species